GACGAACGCUGGCGGCGUGCUUAACACAUGCAAGUCGAACGGAAAGGCCCUGCUUGCAGGGUACUCGAGUGGCGAACGGGUGAGUAACACGUGGGUGAUCUGCCCUGCACUUCGGGAUAAGCUUGGGAAACUGGGUCUAAUACCGGAUAGGAGCCAUCUUUAGUGUGGUGGUUGGAAAGUUUUUUCGGUGUAGGAUGAGCUCGCGGCCUAUCAGCUUGUUGGUGGGGUAAUGGCCUACCAAGGCGGCGACGGGUAGCCGGCCUGAGAGGGUGUACGGCCACAUUGGGACUGAGAGACGGCCCAGACUCCUACGGGAGGCAGCAGUGGGGAAUAUUGCACAAUGGGCGCAAGCCUGAUGCAGCGACGCCGCGUGGGGGAUGAAGGCCUUCGGGUUGUAAACUCCUUUCGCUAGGGACGAAGCGUUUUUGUGACGGUACCUAGAUAAGAAGCACCGGCUAACUACGUG
rnacentral:rRNA from 1 species